rnacentral:rRNA from 1 species
CUACGGGGCGCAGCAGGCGCGAAAACUUUACAAUGCGGGCAACCGUGAUAAGGGAACCUCGAGUGCCUGUAUAUGCAGGCUGUCCAGGUGUCUAAAACACACCUGAGGAAAGGGCCGGGCAAGACCGGUGCCAGCCGCCGCGGUAAUACCGGCGGCUCGAGUGGUGGCCACUUUUAUUGGGCUUAAAGCGUUCGUAGCUGGGUUGUUAAGUCUCUUGGGAAAUCCGGCAGCUUAACUGUCGGGCGUCUAAGGGAUACUGGUAAUCUUGGAACCGGGAGAGGUGAGGGGUACUUCGGGGGUAGGAGUGAAAUCCUGUAAUCC